rnacentral:lncRNA from 1 species
CAACCCCAGCCCGGGGCCAUGUGGGGCUGCCCCACGGCUCUCCUGGCCACCGCCCUCUGCGCCCUCCUGGCCACCGGGGCCACCCCCGACCCCGACUGGGCCAGCGGCUCCACGGGCCACCAGACGACCCCGGUGGCCACCGAACCCCUCGCCUGGGCCACCGAGGGGGACCGCCCGGUGGCCACCCCCGGCCCCGAACUGGCCACGGUGGCCACCGGUGCCCCCUCCCUGGCCACGGUGGCCACCACCAGCUCCGAACCGGCCCCGGUGGCCACCACCGGCCUCCAUGAAGCCCCAGUGGCCACCACGGGCCACCAACCGGCCCCCGAGGCCACCAGCGCCCUCCAGCCGACCACCAGUGGCCACCCCCUCCCCUCGGAGGCCACCGUGGACCAACGACCGGCCUCUGAGUCCUUCGGUGGCCACUUAACGACCCCGGGGACCACCACGGGCCACCCGCCGGCCUUGAAGACCUCCCUGAGCCACCGACCCACCUUGGAAGCCACCACGGGCCACCAGCCCACCUUGGAGACCACCCCGGGCCACCAACCAGGCUUGGGGGCUACCACGGGCCACCACUCAACCUCAGAGGCCACCGAGGGUCACCAACCGGCCCCGGGGACCACCGGUGGCCACCAGCCUUUGGAGACCACCGGUGGCCACCACCCAGGCCUGGAGACCACCGGCGGCCACCUCUCAACCUCGGUGGCCACCAACCCCUCCCCGGUGGCCACCACCCCCUCCCGGGUGGCCGCCACCCCUCAACACCCCCUCCCCAAGUCGCCCCCCACCCCCGCCCAGGAGGAGACCUCCUGGCGGUGGCUGGUGGCGGCGGUGGCCACGGUGGCCACCUUGGUGGUCCUGGGGCUAGUGGUGGCCGCUUGGCUCCAUCACCGGCGCCACCGAAGGGGCUCCACCUCCUUCGGGCCCUGGGCCGGGCCCGUCCCCUCCCCCCACCAGGAGGACGAGGGGGGAGGGGCGGCGGGGGGAGGGGGGGCCACCCAACCUUUGGUGGCCACGGUGGCCACCGGCCAAACGCCCACCCCCCUCAGCACCUUCAAGGCCCCCCCCGAGGCCAACGGGGAGCCUCCCCCCUCCCCCCCCCAAUUAACCGCUUCCUGUUGACGAAGGGCG